AGCAGCCGCGGUAAUUCCAGCUCCAAUAGCGUAUAUUAAAGUUGUUGCAGUUAAAAAGCUCGUGGUUGAAUUUUAGGCUUGACCGGACGGUCCGCUUCUGCGAGUACUGUUCCGCGUUGGGUCUUACCUUCUGGUGAACCGGUAUGUUCUUAAUUGAAUGUGCUGUGGAGCCAGGACCAUUACCUUGAAAAAUUAGAGUGUUUAAAGCGGGCUAUUGCUUGAAUAGAUUAGCAUGGAAUAAUAAAAUAGGACGUUGGUUCUAUUUUGUUGGUUUCUAGGACCACCGUAAUGAUUAAUAGGGAUAGUUGGGGGCAUUAGUAUUCAAUUGUCAGAGGUGAAAUUCUUGGAUUUAUUGAAGACUAACUACUGCGAAAGCAUUUGCCAAGGAUGUUUUCAUUAAUCAAGAACGAAAGUUAGGGGAUCGAAGACGAUCAGAUACCGUCGUAGUCUUAACCAUAAACUAUGCCGACUAGGAAUCGGGCGAUGUUCUUUUCAUGACUCGCUCGGCGCCGUUAUGGGG
rnacentral:misc_RNA from 1 species